GAUGAAGAACGUAGCGAAAUGCGAUAAGUAAUGUGAAUUGCAGAAUUCAGUGAAUCAUCGAAUCUUUGAACGCACAUUGCGCCCGCUGGUAUUCCGGCGGGCAUGCCUGUUCGAGCCUCAUUUCAACCCUCAAGCUCUCCGGAGUUUGGUGUUGGGGCGCCUGGGGCUUUUCGACCUCAGGGCCCUCAAGUCCAUCGGCGGGACCGCCAGGACACUGAGCGCAGUAGUAUUAUUUCGCUCGGUAGGAUCUUCCACGGCGGGUCGAUCUGGCCGCUAAACCCCCCAAUUCUCACCAAAGGUUGACCUCGGAUCAGGUAGGAAUACCCGCUGAACUUAAGCAUAUCAAUAAGCGGAGGA
rnacentral:misc_RNA from 1 species